UACGAAGGGGGCUAGCGUUGUUCGGAAUCACUGGGCGUAAAGCGCACGUAGGCGGAUUUUUAAGUCAGGGGUGAAAUCCCGAGGCUCAACCUCGGAACUGCCUUUGAUACUGGAGAUCUUGAGUCCGGAAGAGGUAAGUGGAACUGCGAGUGUAGAGGUGAAAUUCGUAGAUAUCGCAAGAACACCAGUGGCGAAGGCGGCUUACUGGUCCGGAACUGACGCUGAGGUGCGAAAGCGUGGGGAGCAAACAGG
rnacentral:rRNA from 1 species